UCUGCCACGCCAGACGUAUGCUCAAAAGUGACCAAAAGGGAUAUACUCCACACACUGAUAAAGCCACAUUAACAGGCAGGAAAACAUACCUGGUGUUAACACUGCACCUGCAAGACAGAGGGAGAUGUCUAAUUAUUCGGCUGUUACAUCUUCUGUGUGAGUAAAUCCCCACUGUUCCUUCAGCUGGUAUCAACGUUGGAGGCAGAGGCUUGUCAGCUCUUGUUCAAGUACUCUGUGUACAAGCUACUUCAACCAGGGACUGGAAUCGUACCUGAAGGAAAACUUUCUUCAGCUCAGCAUUAAGAUGCCAAAACUUACUCCAUAAAUUAUUUAAUCGUAAAAAUACAAAAACUGUAGUUCAGAUUACCCCAAAGUAAAAAUAAUUAUCUGUUAGGAUUUUUUUUUUUUUGUACAAUCAAAACAGGACUGUUGCCCAGAAGACACCGGAGGGGUUAUGAAACUACUGGCAGAAUGAGGACCAGUGCUCUUUUCCUCUUAAUACUUGGGAUGAGUUUUCCUGGAGUUCUUCCAGGCCGCCAACGUCGGAGACACUCUGACAGUGAAGAGAGAGGGCGGGUCCUCCGGCUUUCAACAUUCUACAUUUCGAGGCCCGCGCCCCAAUAUUUUGCGGUGCCCUGGAUGUACUUCCCAAGGUUUAUUCCCCAGCCCGUUCCAGUUCCGCUACCGCCACCGUUUCCAUUUCCAGAGAUUUUGCCGGUUCCGUUACCGGAGAUACUACCGCCACUAGUAACCAGCACCACGGCGGCCCCUACAACUCCAUCCCGCGGACGAGGAGACAUAUGAAGAUACGAUUUUUUGUUUUUGUUUUGUUGAAUCGUCUCAUUUUCAGGCUUAUAUUAAUAUAUAUUGAUAGCCCAAGCACCUGAUGCUGACAUUGUUAAUGAGUCUGCAACGCUAAAACAUAGUAAAUAGCAUUCAGCAUGUGUUGCCUUCAGUCUAAAUAAAUAAAUAAAGAAAGAAACAACUGAGUCUGAAAAAUGUCACAUGUACAUA